GUUUUAGUAGUUUAACUAAAAACAUUGAUCUUGUAAAUCAAAAAUAUUAAUUCUAAAACA
rnacentral:tRNA from 1 species